rnacentral:rRNA from 1 species
GUGUCAGCAGCCGCGGUAAUACGAACCGUCCAAACGUUAUUCGGAAUUACUGGGCUUAAAGGGUUUGUAGGCGGCCUUGUAAGUGGGGUGUGAAAUCCCUCGGCUCAACCGAGGAAUAGCGCUCCAAACUACAUGGCUUGAGGGAGACAGGGGUAAGCGGAACUGAUGGUGGAGCGGUGAAAUGCGUUGAUAUCAUCAGGAACACCGGUGGCGAAAGCGGCUUACUGGGUCUCUUCUGACGCUGAGAAACGAAAGCUAGGGUAGCGAACGGGAUUAGAAACCCCUGUAGUCC